rnacentral:misc_RNA from 1 species
GAACGCAUAUUGCGCCCGCCAGCACUCUGGCGUGCAUGCCUGUUCGAGCGUCAUUUCAACCCUCAGGCCUCGCGUCUGGCGUUGGGGCGCCGCGGCCCUCCCGCAGGCCCCCAAAUCUAGCGGCGAACCCGUCCGGCCCUGAGCGCAGUAGUUAACUUACUUUAACGCUCCGGCGGCCGUGGCGCGGUACUGCCUCUUGCCCAAUAGCGCCAAUAGCGCCACCCCCAAAAAGUUGACCUCGGAUCAGGUAGGACUACCCGCUGAACUUAAG